AGAAGUGAAGAAUUCAGAAACCAAAUAUGGUGGAGUGCAGUACUCAUGUUCAGAAACGGUGUUGAAAAUAUUUGUAAUAUGGGCGUCGAAUUCUCACAGCUGAUUACCAAGCAGCAAAGGAGGCUACUAAUAAGUCUGCCAUUGAGCUAAUCACUCUUAUAGAACCAGAUCUGUUCUUCUAUUCAGUAGAUUGGAUAUAUGGAGCGCAUCGAUCUUGAGAUGUUUCUCAAACAGGGACCCGAUACUGGAGUAUAUGCUCCUCCAAACUUUCACAAUAGCAGCAGCAAGGGUCCUUUAUUGGGGGUGGUAGUUACGUCUUAUCUGCAACUUCCAGUUUGUUGAGGCAUUUCAUAUUUGCUGAGAUCUAGGAGGCUACUAAAACUUUGAUGAGUAUCGAGUUCUUGGCUUUGAAGAAAAUUAUGAGAUAGUUUUAGUUUAUGAUUACAUGGUCAAGGACCAUUGAGAGGACAUAUAUUUGAAAAUAGCAAUUUAAUUCUUUCGAACUAGAGAUAAUAAAUACCUCGAGCAUCUCUAAUGCAGAUCUAUAGUGGCUCUUUCCAGGAUAAAGGAAUCAAAUUGCUAUUUCAAUAUAUGUGUCGUCAAAUUAAAAUAAUCUCAUGAGUUUCUUCACAAUAACCAAUAAGACAAACCAAAUUCCACUGCCUUGAGUUUAGAAAACAUUUAUAUUUCUGUUUGAAAUUAUGGAUGCCUUGUUGUGCUAAUAAGCUUUCUCAAUUAAUUGCAACUUUGGUACCACCAUCAAACUCACCUUCAUAAAAUUGUCAAACCUUAACUCUGACAAUUCGAUACUUGUCAAAGUUUUUAUAGCUUCUUAAUCUAAGUAAAUCUGACAUACAAUCGAAUCCAGAAACUUGCACUUCUGUAAAUGAUAGAUUGUGGAAAUCUCUUAAAACUGAUUCUAUACUUGUAAAACUUUUUAUAACCUCCUAAUCUAAGUAAAUAUAAAAUGCCUCCACAAACUGGAAGUUGAGAUAAGCCGUAACUACCACGUCAUGACAUACCACGGCUCCGAUGAAUGAAACCCAACAAAGCACAGUCACAUAAACAACUCAGCUACUUGUUUGGAUGUAUUUCUAAGAGCUGUUUUUUCACAGCCGCUGAAUCAAAACAAGGGAGGUAAUUGAAUUGGCAAGAUGAGCAUUAUGUUUCUGUAUGCAGCUAGCAAUAUCCUCAGAUUGCAGUGAGUCGGGUAAAUGAAGUUUAUAGAUCACUGUUAGUCCCUAUCUUAAGGUGGAGACUAAUGUUUUCAAGUCACUAUUUGUCAUUAAUCUCUGCUUUAGAAACUGUAUCAGGAAUUUUAUCCUAUGGUUGAUCGUGAUGUUUUCAAGAAGGAAUUUUUAAAUGGCUUCCUCUGUCAGCAUUUUUCCUUGCUAGUCUUCAUCCUGCUCACGAUUGUGGAUGCUCUCUGUUUGGGUAUAUGAAUUUAUUUUUGUAGGAGAUUUGAAUAGGUUAAUCGAUAUCCUUAAAUUGUGAAGUCAGAGCUGUUUCAUGUUGUUAGGUCUCUAAAAGAUGUGAAGAGGAGCAUAAAAAUUGCUUGUCUUUGGCUUUGAGAUACUUUCUGAGCCAUAUUGUGUUUCAUCUUAUGAAUUUGAAUGGUGUGUAACCUCUCUAAGCA